rnacentral:rRNA from 1 species
UACGUAGGUGACAAGCGUUGUCCGGAUUUACUGGGCGUAAAGCGCACGUAGGCGGCUUUGUAAGUUAGAGGUGAAAGCCCGGGGCUCAACUCCGGAACUGCCUUUAAGACUGCAUCGCUUUGAAUCAUGGAGAGGUCAGUGGAAUUCCGAGUGUAGAGGUGAAAUGCGCAGAUAUCAGGAGGAACACCGAUGCGAAGGCAGGUCACUGG